AGAGGGCCCACAGCCUGCCAGCCCUGUCCCCAGACACCUCAACUUUAGACUCUCCGUACCCCAACCCUGCUGGGCAGGGACUAAAGAGACCACCUGCACUGGUCAAGGCUCACAGAGAUUUCUCUCCAUCCCCAUGUGUUCCUGCAGAGAUGUUGUCCUGCAGUGAUGACAUCACCAGUGAUGACAUCGCCUGUGAUGUGCUACAGCCAAGCGUCCUCACCAGAGCUGACACUGCAACCUAACAAAUAAAGUCUAUUUCUUUAUAAUUUA